AAAUAAGAAACAAAAUUUUGUAUUUAGUUUCGACCUAAAAUUUUGAGUGUAUCUCCUUAUUUU
rnacentral:tRNA from 1 species